rnacentral:rRNA from 1 species
AACGAACGCUGGCGGCGUGGAUUAGGCAUGCAAGUCGUGCGUGAAAGUGUAGCAAUACAUGAGUAAAGCGGCGAACUGGUGAGUAACAGGUGGGUAACGUGCCCUGAAGUGGGGGAUAACACCGGGAAACCGGUGCUAAUACCGCAUGUGGUGCCGAGGACCUUGGUCCUUGUCACUAAAGCAGCAGUGCGCUUCAGGAUCGGCCCGCCCCCGAUUAGCUAGUUGGUAAGGUAACGGCUUACCAAGGCAACGAUCGGUAGCUGGUCUGAGAGGAUGGUCAGCCACACUGGAACUGAGAUACGGUCCAGACUCCUACGGGGGGCAGCAGUCUAGAGGCUUCGUCAAUGGGGGCAACCCUGAACGAGCGACGCCGCGUGUGGGAUUGAAGGCCUUCGGGUCGUAAACCACUGUCGAGUGGAAAGAAUGCCCUGAUGGCGAAUCAGGGAGGGACGGUACCACUAUAGGAAGCCCCGGCUAACUCCGUG